rnacentral:rRNA from 1 species
GCAGCCGCCGCGGUAAUACGGAGGGUGCGAGCGUUAAUCGGAAUUACUGGGCGUAAAGCGUACGCAGGCGGUUUGUUAAGUCAGAUGUGAAAUCCCCGAGCUUAACUCGGGAACUGCAUUUGAAACUGGCAGGCUAGAGUCUCGUAGAGGGGGGUAGAAUUCCAGGUGUAGCGGUGAAAUGCGUAGAGAUCUGGAGGAAUACCGGUGGCGAAGGCGGCCCCCUGGACGAAGACUGACGCUCAGGUACGAAAGCGUGGGGAGCAAACAGGAUUAGAUACCCCAGUAGUCCCUGUCUCUUAUAA